CGCACGUGCUACGUGUCACCUACACAGUACCAAGGAGCUAAAUAUAACAAGGAGAGUGAGCGGUUUUGGCUGUGUGCUGUUCGCCUCAAGGACGCCGUCGAUGGACCAUAAUCGGCUGAAACGGCUGUGCAGACCCGAACCCAGAGACAAUAGAACACUAAUCUGUUCUAGGC